rnacentral:rRNA from 1 species
AGAUCGGAGCACUCUGGACAGACUGCCUCGCUUAAACGAGGAGGAAGGUGGGGAUGACGUCAAGUCAGUAUGGCCCUUACGGCCAGGGCUGCACACGUACUACAAUGCCCGGCACAAAGGGAAGCGAUACCGUCAGGUGGAGCAAAUCCCCAAAAACCGGGCCCAGUUCAGAUUGUCGUCUGCAACUCGACGGCAUGAAGUUGGAAUCGCUAGUAAUGGCGCAUCAGCUACGGCGCCGUGAAUACGUUCCC